rnacentral:rRNA from 1 species
CACGUAGGGUGCGAGCGUUGUCCGGAAUUAUUGGGCGUAAAGAGCUCGUAGGCGGUGUGUCGCGUCGGCCGUGAAAACCUGCAGCUUAACUGUGGGCUUGCGGUCGAUACGGGCAUCACUGGAGUUCGGCAGGGGAGACUGGAAUUCCUGGUGUAGCGGUGAAAUGCGCAGAUAUCAGGAGGAACACCGGUGGCGAAGGCGGGUCACUGGGCCGCAACUGACGCUGAGGAGCGAAAGCAUGGGAAGCGAACAGG